CCUACGGGAGGCAGCAGUGGGGAAUUUUGGACAAUGGGCGCAAGCCUGAUCCAGCAAUGCCGCGUGAGUGAAGAAGGCCUUCGGGUUGUAAAGCUCUUUUGUCAGGGAAGAAACGGUGGGAGCUAAUAUCUCCUGCUAAUGACGGUACCUGAAGAAUAAGCACCGGCUAACUACGUGCCAGCAGCCGCGGUAAUACGUAGGGUGCAAGCGUUAAUCGGAAUUACUGGGCGUAAAGCGUGCGCAGGCGGUUUUGUAAGACUGUCGUGAAAUCCCCGGGCUCAACCUGGGAAUGGCGAUGGUGACUGCAAGGCUAGAGUUUGGCAGAGGGGGGUAGAAUUCCACGUGUAGCAGUGAAAUGCGUAGAUAUGUGGAGGAACACCGAUGGCGAAGGCAGCCCCCUGGGUCAAAACUGACGCUCAUGCACGAAAGCGUGGGGAGCAAACAGGAUUAGAUACCCUGGUAGUCCACGCCCUAAACGAUGUCUACUAGUUGUCGGGUCUUAAUUGACUUGGUAACGCAGCUAACGCGUGAAGUAGACCGCCUGGGGAUACGGUCGCAAGNUUAAAACNCAAAGUGAAAUUGACCGGNUGAGAGAGACGACGACGACGACGAGGGAGGAGG
rnacentral:rRNA from 1 species